UAAUUAAAAGUGGAUAUUCAAGUUAUAAGUAUAUUAAAAGGCCCUUUUUCCCCACCUCUUAGAUCUUGUUUUUGUGGAAAAGUUUUUUUGUCAGUUGACUGAAUUACGUUUGUCUACUCCAUUUUGCCACUCGGCGGAUGCAUGAAAGGCCCUAAGAUGAGUUCUGGUGGCAUGGAACUCCUUGGAAAAACAGAAAAGACACCACAGAUCCCAUUUGGAGAUACAUCUCUGUUUUCAUCAUGGAACCCAUGGAAUUAAAGGCAAAUAAAUCCCUCUCAAAAUCUGUUUCUGUCUUCCAGACAUGCCUGUUUAUUAGGUUCUAGAAACGACAUGCUUUCCUGGCCCUAUUCUUAAAGGGCUCCACCCUGAGCUGCUGGAUCUUCUGUUUGUCUGUGUGGUCAUAUAUGUAAUGUGUAUACCUUUUAAAAUUAAUUUAAAAAAGAGCUCUAAUUAUCUUAAAAAAGGAUAAGCACUUGGAUAAAAUAGAUAUAUAUAUUUUUUGAGAUGGAGUUUCGCUGUUGUUACCCAGACUGCAGUGCAAUGGCACAAUCUCGGCUCAUGGCAACCUCUGCCUCCUGGGUUCAAGCAAUUCUCCUGCCUCAGCCUCCUGAGUAGCUGGGACUACAGGCACGUACCAACAUGCCCAGCUAAUUUUUGUAUUUUUAGUAGAGACGGGGUUUCACCUUGUUGACAAGGAUGGUCUCGAUCUCUUGACCUUGUGAUCCACCCACCUUGGCCUCCCAAAGUGCUGGGAGGCCGAGCCACUGCGCAGGCCUGGAUAAAAUAUUUUUAAAGGAAAAGUAAGAGCCGUAAUGACUCUUAUUUUGCAUGACUUUAAUCUUUAAAAAUAAGAACAGUCUUAGGGAUUAUUGGUAAAAUACAAAUGUCUUAAAGGUAUAAAGAUGUGGUCUAAACUAUAUAGGUCAAAUACUAAGUUUGCUAAAUGUCUUAAGGUUGUGAACUGUUUCUGUGGCCUUUAAAAACUGUCAACUUGCCUGCUUCACAAUUGGUUAGCUCUGGGAAGAUAUGGAACAUACGCCCCAUAUGUUUGGAAGGAGUCAAACUUUAUCUACACCAAGCACAUAAUUAAAACAAUUUGCCAGGUUUCACAUUCAAGUUAAAAAUUGCUAAGAAUUACUGUUAUGACAUGUAAUUGAAACUACUGAAAUAGAUUUACAUGCAAGGUGUGUAAAAACAGUCAAAUGUGUUUUAGUAAAAGAUUUUAAGAAGGCAUGGAAGUGUGCAUUUUGGGGAUAAAUAACUGUCUUAAAUUAGGUAAAAUAAAGCUGAAGAUUUAAGCAAACUGGGGAAAAUUGAAAAAAUUAAUCUUGCAAAGGAAACUCUAUGUGUGAACAUACUGACUAAAUUGGAAAUUACAGAUGAUUUUUCUGUAAAUUGAGCAUUGAAGUAAAAGUACAAAAAGGUUUUCUUAAGACACUAAUCUGCUCUUUAGCAAAAUUUUAAAGAGGUAUAAAAAGUUUGUGAAAAUGUCACCUCAUGGUCAAACUGGUUAAGGUCAAAUAGAAUCAUCUAUAAGGUUUCAUCAAAAAUUGGGGUUAACAUUAAUAAUAGACUAAUGCAAGGGUAAAAUUUAACUUUCUCUCUUGAACAGGAUUUUCAUGUACUAGUACAAGCGAAUGAAUGUUUUUUGCUUUUUCAUAUUUUGACUCAUCAUUUUGGCAAAACAAAUGACUUAUGAUAAUCUAAAAUUCUAUUUCAUAAUAUCAAGUGUUUUGAACCUCUGACAUAUUUAACAGGCUUCCCAAAAUCAAACUUCAGUCACAAGGUUUCCUGACCCCUAGCUUUUGGGUACUACAGGGGCCGCUGGAAUAUCCAGAAGAGAGUUAAAGAACAUUAUUUGACAUCUUUAGGUACAUGGAAUUGCCAAAAUGAUGUCUAAUUUUCUUCAAGUUAUAUUUUAGGAAUAAUAUUAGCAUACAUUCAAAAACCACAUGGGAUGUCUAAGGUUCUUUUUUUUUUUUUUUGAGUCAGAGUCUCACUCUGUUGCCCAGGCUGGAGUGCAGUGGCAUGAUCUUGGCUCACUGCAACCUCAACCUCCUGGAGUCAAGCAGUUCUCCUGCCUCAGCCUCCUGAGUGGCUGGGAGUAUAGGUGCAUGCCACCACACCCAGCUAAUUUUUGUAUUUUUAGUAGAGAUGGGGUUUCGCUAUGUUGGUCAGGCUGGUCUCAAACUCCUGACUUUGUGAUCCUUCUGAUUUGCCCUCCCAAAGUGCUGGAAUUACAGGUGUGAGCUACUGUGUCUGGUCAUAAGGUUGUAAUGUCUGAGUAUAUGCUAUCAAUUACAAUUAAGAUUGUUAUGUUAAGUUAUUGUAAACCACAAACAAUCAAAUUUCUUUGUCAAUCAUGUUCUUGACUGUAACCAUCAUGAAUAUUUUGUCAUUUGCAGACAAUUGUUGUCUUGUUUUAUCCUUUUCAAAAGAUUUAUAAUCAGAUUCAUAAUCAGAUGUGGGGCUUUAACAGGUGCUCUCAAAUGCAAAUUUCUCAUAACAGAAAAUGUAUAGGAUUAAUGGAAAGCUAAAAUGUUUAUAAGUGUCAAGCAGAACAAGAGUUAACUAAAUGGACUGAACUAGUACAGAGCUGAUAUGAUAUUUUUGACUUACCCUUGGAACAUUGCUGAUCCUUGUUUUGUUUUUCAGGGUCAAGAAAACUUAUUUCAAGUUAUUUAUGGCCUUUAAUAAUUGAGCAAAUUAUACUUCUCUGAGCAAAUUCUGAAACAUGCUUGCUUCUCUCUGCCUGGUUCCUCUAUCAUUCAGAAACUGGUUGAGUCAAGCUUGACUUGCAGAGCUGAUGAAAGGCCCUGGGGAAACUGGCCUUAUACUUUGUCCACACAGCCCCUGUACAGGGUUCCUAACCUGUGGUCUGUUAAAAAAACUCCAAAAACAGGGAUUUUUAGGCCCACUUGCACUUAGCCUCCUCUUCCCACCUCCUAUUCAUCUCCAUUUCUGAUGUUCCACUGCCCUCACUGCCAGGAAGUUCUGCAGAGAAGAAUGAAGAAGAACUUUAUGAUCUUAACAAUGUUCUCCAAAGAUAUUAUCAGCCCACUAUCAGCCUUAUUUAUUGGUCCUUGUGUUCCAUAGGAUUAGGAGCAUUAGGGACCUGGUUUCAUUGUGAUCCUGACUGCCCAUCCGUUCUCUCGUCAUCAUUUGAAGAAAUACCAGGCACCUGAAUUCAUCUGCACAAACAGAGCUGACCGGGCUACCUGCUGCCCGCCAUCCUGUUGUCUUUCUUGCAUUGUUCUGGGACUCUGGCCAUACACACCUUCCAAAAUAACUGUGCAGUUGUCAUCAUUGUUUAGGAGACUAUUUUGGAACACUGGCUUAGCUUGGUGAUGUGUGGGGAUCCAGGAAGGGCCCCAGCUGUUGGGAGGGAGGCCCAGGGCUAUCAGGGAGCUGGGGGUGGGUAGGAAGUGACAGGGACUGGGCUGCAGGAGGUGCAGUGGGGCCCACAGGGAGGACCAUUUCUGACACGUGUUUGGUCUUGGUGUGGAGAAUUGGAAAGAAAGAGGAGAAAGGAUGGGGUGAUCAGGUGCAGGUGGGAGGAAAACUGGAAGGGGAGAAAAGAGUGAAGGAACAUUAGAUUGAUUGGUGCUGGUGGAAGAGGUAAGGAGAGACAUUGUUCAGAGAGGAGGGGCUGGGAAGUGAGGGUGUGAGUUGAAGGGCACUAAUGGUACGCUGACAUAUUUUUUAAAGAGUGGUUUCUACAGCCUGGAGGACUUGAGGACAGCUGUUGGGAACCUUCUACGAGGUGAUGGAAAAGUGUAAUUGGGAGCAAGGGGGUGUGAUGAUUGACAGACAGCCUAAAGUUGAGUCAGGUGACAUCCUGCCAUCUUUAGCAAUGUAAUAGGUGGUCAGAUGAGCUCACAGUAUCCAGGGUGGGGGGCGGGGGGUGGCAGAACCAUAUCACAGGGAUUGCGACAGAGGAGCUGGAUAGAUGUGUUCUCAGGGGGCAAAGGUGGAAUUCCCUUCUCUUUUUUGUUUUCUCUUGGUGUCACAGGCCUGCAGAAACAUCACACCAUGAAUUAAAAUCCCUCAAUUGCACGGGUUUUUGCACCCCCAUGACUUCACAGGGUCUCUAGCUCUUUCAAAGUCAGCAGCAAGACAAGGGCAAAGCCUGGGUUCUCGUGGGAGUGUUUCAUGUGCUUGUGUACAAAUUAGCCCCUACAGGGACUGUGCAUCUCCAUGUAACUCUGCUGGGCACUGGGGCCAUGUGCUCUGUUGGUCUAUGGGAACUCUCCCCAGUUAUAGUUUAAGAGAGGGGUUUUCAAAAAGGGAUGCUAAUGUCCCAGGAUUUUAUGGAAUUUAAGUAAAACUUCUUUUUUCUGUUGUACUCAGAAUGUUCUAAAGCUUUGUUCCUAGGUCGCCUCACAGUGCAUGGAUUCUUUCCUUUCUCUUUUAGACACAGGGUUUUGCUGUCUCGCCCAGACUGGAGUGUAGCAAGUAUUCACAAGUGCGAUCAUAGUAUACCUCAGCCUCCUGGGCUUAAGCAAUCCCCCUGCCUCAGCCUCCUGAGUAGCUGGGACCAUAAGGAGAAGCCCAUGCCAAGGUUCAGUUCUUCUUUCCUACAAUGAGUUAUGGUCCAGAAAAUUUUCUAACUCACCCCCACCCUUCACUCCACAGAAGGACUUCCACUGGGAUUCCAGCCAGCAUGCCAGGCUCACUUGAAUCCCUGGGAUGAAUCCAGCCUCAGUUGAAGUGCAGAUUACUGCUUCAUCUCAGAGCCUGGCCAUAUUGAGGAGCAGACGGUUUUACUCGUCUGCCUGCUGGCCUCUUGCUCCAUUGUCUAGGCCUGUCCUUUCUCACCUAGUGUCCUAAUCCCCUCCUCACCACCUCACAACAGAGAAAGCUCUCGUUCUGUGUUGCUUUCUCUCAGGAUUUUCAUGCUUUUUAAAAGAGCCAGGGCACGGUGUGCUUUCAUGCAGGACCUAAGCAAAUAAGGACAUCUCAAGGAGAUGCCCAAGUCUUACCCUGGUGCCCACCCACCAUCCUGGAGAGGACAGUUCCUGUUCAUAGUGUCCAUGAUUGUUUAUGUCAAAGAUCCAGGGAGUUUGCAAAAACCUCUUAGAACUAAUAAGUAAGUUUAACAAGGUUGCAGGACAUAAGGUUAAUAUAUACACACACACAAAUCAAUUAUAUUUCUAUACAUCAGCAAAUUAGGAUUCUCUAGGGGAACAGAACGAAUAGGAUACACACACACACACA